rnacentral:rRNA from 1 species
AGAGUUUGAUCCUGGCUCAGGACGAACGCUGGCGGCGUGCUAACACAUGCAAGUCGAACGGAUUAUUUAAAUAGAACCCUUCGGGUGACGUUUUAAUAACUUAGUGGCGGACGGGUGAGUAACGCGUGAGUAACCUGCCUUUCAGAGGGGGAUAACGUCCUGAAAAGGAGCUAAUACCGCAUGAUAUAUUUGUGCCGCAUGNAUGGAUAUCAAAGGAGCAAUCCGCUGGAAGAUGGACUCGCGUCCGAUUAGCUAGUUGGAGGGGUAACGGCCCACCAAGGCGACGAUCGGUAGCCGGACUGAGAGGUUGAACGGCCACAUUGGGACUGAGACACGGCCCAGACUCCUACGGGAGGCAGCAGUGGGGGAUAUUGCGCAAUGGGGGAAACCCUGACGCAGCAACGCCGCGUGAAGGAAGAAGGUUUUCGGAUUGUAAACUUCUUUUCUAAGGGACGAAGAAGUGACGGUACCUUAGGAAUAAGCUCCGGCUAACUACGUGCCAGCAGCCGCGGUAAUACGUAGGGAGCAAGCGUUGUCCGGAUUUACUGGGUGUAAAGGGUGCGUAGCNGCAAUGCAAGUCAGAUGUGAAAUGCACGGGCUCAACCCGUGAGCUGCAUUUGAAACUGUGUUGCUUGAGUGAGGUAGAGGCAGGCGGAAUUCCCGGUGUAGCGGUGAAAUGCGUAGAGAUCGGGAGGAACACCAGUGGCGAAGGCGCCUGCUGGGCUUAACUGACGCUGAUGCACGAAAGCGUGGGUAGCAAACAGGAUUAGAUACCCUGGUAGUCCACGCUGUAAACGAUGAUUACUAGGUGUGGGGGGUCUGACCCCUUCCGUGCCGCAGUUAACACAAUAAGUAAUCCACCUGGGAGUACGGCCGCAA